rnacentral:pre_miRNA from 11 species
CAGCGGAUGUACAGUGCAGUCAUCCAUAAAGUAGAAAGCACUACUAAACUCAUCGCCACAGUGUAGUGUUUCCUACUUUAUGGAUGAGUGUACUGUUGGCUUCAGGG